ensembl:lncRNA
CGCGAAUACUACAGACUACCUGAGAAGACCCUGCAACUCGCUAAGAUUAGCAAACUCUUAAUGGCACUUGAGCAAGGACGAUUAGCAGAAUUUCAUGGCAAGAACUUGGAUGAAAUUGGGAUAGGUCCAGAUGAAAAGGUUUUUGAAAGUGAAGAUGAAAGCCCACAGGAGGCACACUGUUCAUCUACUGCUGAUGAAGAGACUCUUCCUCACAUCGAGAGCCCUGAAAUUCCACCAACCAAGAAGCGAAGACAACGGCCGUUGGUUGAAAUGCCGGAAGAAGUCGGCGCUAUGAGGCCUUCCUCACAAGGUAAAGCUGCAAAGAAGAAAAAACCCUGGCAGCCGACAGAGGUCCAGGCAGUCGAGAGGCACAUGACUCGCUUCAUCACCUCUUGCAUUGUACCUGGGAAGAGUGAUUGUGAGAAAUGUUUAAGGGUUGAACCAGAAGCACUACAGAACCGGGAUUGGCAGAACCUUAAAUUCUACAUUCAUAACCGAAUUAAGUCCUACAAAAAGAAGUGGCAAUGAAAAUAG